rnacentral:rRNA from 1 species
UACGGAGGGGGCUAGCGUUGUUCGGAAUUACUGGGCGUAAAGGGCGCGUAGGCGGCGCGAUAAGUUGGGCGUGAAAGGCCCGGGCUCAACCCGGGGACUGCGCUUGAUACUGUCGCGCUGUGAGUCCGGGGAGAGGAUGGCGGAAUUCCCAGUGGUAAGAGGUGAAAUUCGUAGAGAUUGGGAAGAAUACCCGUGGCGAAGGCGGCCAACUGG